rnacentral:rRNA from 1 species
CGCGUAGGCGGCUCGACAAGUCUGAUGUGAAAGCCCGGGGCUCAACCCCGGAAGUGCAUUGGAUACUGUCGAGCUUGAGUUCGGGAGAGGAGGGCAGAAUUCCCGGUGUAGGGGUGAAAUCCGUAGAUAUCGGGAGGAAAACCAGUGGCGAAGGCGGCCCUCUGGAACGAAACUGACGCUGAGGCGCGAAAGCGUGGGGAGCAAACA